rnacentral:lncRNA from 1 species
GCUGGGAGCCGUUCAGGAGAGGGAUGCAGCCUGUGUGCGCAUGCUUGUGUGUGUCUGCAGGGAGGGUCAGAGUAGUAGUGCGGGGGGGGGGGGGGGGGACUCUCUAUUUUUCAUUCUUGGCAUAUCAGCCUUGGAGGGGCUCGGCGGUGCGAUAAAAAAGUCGUGCAUCUGGGCGCAUGUGACGCGCAGUGCGUAAUUGUUAGCCCCGUGGCUUAAAACGAAAGCAGCAUUCGGCCAUUUCUCAAAUGGCGAGACCGCAAUAACCCACCACUUCCCCUCGCGAGAAAUGUCCCCGCACUCCCACAGUCUGUUUACCAGAAGCAGCGGCAGCUGACGAGGCAGCGGUGGAUGUUUGGGUGCGCGGGGGGCGGGGCCUGCGCGCUCUCUGCUGAUUUAACUAUGCUUCAUUUACUGCUGCACGGUGGAGUCACAUGUCAAUUACUGCAUUUGCCCUUUCGGAGAAGCCUUUCACACAGAUGUUUGCCGGGGCCGCGUGAGAACGCGGGUGGAUGUGUGAUUGCUGAAGUACAACGGGGCGCUCAGCUCGGGGACAUGCAAAAGAGGCAAAACUGCCAAACUUUCGUCAAAUGCAGCUGUCAACUGUGA